GAUGAAGAACGUAGUGAAAUGCGAUAAGUAAUGUGAAUUGCAGAAUUCAGUGAAUCAUCGAAUCUUUGAACGCACAUUGCGCCCGCCAGUAUUCUGGCGGGCAUGCCUGUUCGAGCGUCAUUUCAACCAUCAAGCCCCGGGCUUGUGUUGGGGACCUGCGGCUGCCGCAGGCCCUGAAAACCAGUGGCGGGCUCGCUGUCACACCGGGCGUAGUAGAUUUUAUCUCGCUCUGGGCGUGCUGCGGGUUCCGGCCGUUAAAAAACCCUUUUAACCCAAGGUUGACCUCGGAUCAGGUAGGAAUACCCGCUGAACUUAAGCAUAUCAAUAAGCGGAGGA
rnacentral:misc_RNA from 1 species